rnacentral:rRNA from 1 species
UGCAUGUCUAAGAACAUAUGUGUAAACAUGAAUCUGCGAACGGCUCAUUAUUAACACCCAUAAUCUACCCAGUUUUCGUAUCCAAAACGGAUAUCUGCGUUAAUUUUGGAGCUAAUACGUGCACCAACGUGCUGCUAGCAAUAGUGGCACGCACUUAUUAGAUCAAGGCCGAUUGGGGCAACCCUUUUGGUGACUCUGAAUAAUUUUGCGGAUCGUAUGGUCUUGUACCGACGACGUACUGGUCGAGUGGGUGCCCUAUCAACUAUUGAUGGAAGUCUAUGUGUCUUCCAUGGUUGUAACGGGUAACGGAGAAUAAGGGUUCGACUCCGGAGAGCUAGCCUUAGAAACGGCUAUCACAUCCAAGGAAGGCAGCAGGCGCGUAAAUUACCCACUCUCAAUUCGAGGAGGUAGUGACUAUCAAUAACGAGACAGAUCUCUUUGAGGUCUGUCAUUGCAAUGAGCACAACUUAAAGACU